rnacentral:lncRNA from 1 species
UGCAGUCCCUUUGGGUUGCAAGGGAUUUCUCUUCAGAUUAAUAACUUUCUUUCGAGUACUGUAGUGAUGUUUGUCGCACAGUCUUCUUUCACUUGUUUGAUACAAUGCCUCACCAGAACUCUCUUUCUAUUUCUGAAUUAUUACACAGCAAAUCUAACUAGACUACUAUGCUUGUUUGCAGUAAAAUUAAGAGGGCUGUUUUGGUGUGAUCAAAGUAUGUCGAUGGUACAAAGCACUAUGGAAUUUUAUACAACAAGGUUAUGGUGGAGGUUUGUCAACCCAAGGGAUUUGAUACUUGGAAAGUGUUGAUUCUUUCCAAGAAUAAUGCACUAGAUGUUGCUUUGAUGAAGAUCCCUUUCCUUUUGCUGGAGAUACAAUUAUUAUGGUGGAGGUUUGUCAACCCAAUGGAUUUGAUCCUUGGAAAGUGUUGAUUCUUUCCAAGAAUAAUGCACUGGUCGUUGCUUUGAUGAAGAUCUCUUUCCUUUUGCUGGAGAUACAAUUGAU